rnacentral:rRNA from 1 species
AGCGAACGCUGGCGGCAGGCCUAACACAUGCAAGUCGAACGAACCUUUCGGGGUUAGUGGCGGACGGGUGAGUAACACGUGGGAACGUGCCUUUAGGUUCGGAAUAACUCAGGGAAACUUGUGCUAAUACCGAAUGUGCCCUUCGGGGGAAAGAUUUAUCGCCUUUAGAGCGGCCCGCGUCUGAUUAGCUAGUUGGUUGAGGUAAUGGCUCACCAAGGCGACGAUCAGUAGCUGGUCUGAGAGGAUGAUCAGCCACAUUGGGACUGAGACACGGCCCAAACUCCUACGGGAGGCAGCAGUGGGGAAUCUUGCGCAAUGGGCGAAAGCCGGACGCAGCCAUGCCGCGGGAAUGAUGAAGGUCUUAGGAUUGUAAAAUUCUUUCACCGGGGACGAUAAUGACGGUACCCGGAGAAGAAGCCCCGGCUAACCUCGG